AACUUAAAUGAAUUGACGGGGACCCGCACAAGCGGUGGAUGAUGUGGUUUAAUUCGAAGCAACGCGCAGAACCUUACAACCCUUGACAUGGGCAUCGCGGGACCGGAGACGGUUCUUUCAGUUCGGCUGGAUGCCACACAGGUGCUGCAUGGCUGUCGUCAGCUCGUGUCGUGAGAUGUUCGGUUAAGUCCGGCAACGAGCGCAACCCACAUUUUCAGUUGCCAUCAUUCAGUUGGGCACUCUGGAGAAACUGCCGGUGAUAAGCCGGAGGAAGGUGUGGAUGACGUCAAGUCCUCAUGGCCCUUACGGGUUGGGCUACACACGUGCUACAAUGGUGGUGACAAUGGGUGAAUCCCAAAAAGCCAUCUCAGUUCGGAUUGGGGUCUGCAACUCGACCCCAUGAAGUCGGAAUCGCUAGUAAUCGCGUAACAGCAUGACGCGGUGAAUACGUUCCCGGGCCUU
rnacentral:rRNA from 1 species